UUGCCUACCUGUCAGGGGAGACACUGAUCAAGCAGCUGGUUUUGCGAGGGAGAGACCCACCCAUUGCACUUGAGGUGUGCUGACCCCUGCGAUUUCCCUAAAUGAGGGAAACUUGACUGCAUAAUUUGUGGUAGUGGGAACUGUUUUCACACUCUAUCCUU
ensembl:snRNA U1 U1 spliceosomal RNA